CAGGCCUAACACAUGCAAGUCGAACGGUAAGCGGUCCUUCGGGACUGUGAGAGUGGCGGACGGGUGCGUAACGCGUAUGCAACCAACCCCCGACGGGCGGAUAGCCGGUGGAAACGCCGGAUAAGCCGCCAUGCGGCCGACGAGGGGCAUCCCUUGUCGGUCAAAGCGGAGACGCGGUGGGGGACGGGCAUGCGUCCCAUUAGAUAGUUGGCGGGGCGACGGCCCACCAAGUCGACGAUGGGUAGGGGAUCUGAGAGGACGGUCCCCCACACUGGUACUGAGGCACGGACCAGACUCCUGCGGGAGGCAGCAGUAAGGGAUAUUGGUCAAUGGGGGGAACCCUGAACCAGCCAAGUAGCGUGAGGGAUGACGGCCCUACGGGUUGUAAACCUCUUUUGUGCGGGGGUAACGAGCGCCACGUGUGGCGCGUUGAAAGUACCGCACGAAUAAGCAUCGGCUAACUCCGUGCCAGCAGCCGCGGUAAUACGGAGGAUGCGAGCGUUAUCCGGAUUUAUUGGGUUUAAAGGGUGCGUAGGCGGUUUGCUAAGCGGGAGGUGAAAUGCCGGCGCUCAACGUCGGAAGUGCCUCCCGAACUGGUGGACUGGAAUGACUCUGCCGUGGGAGGAAUGUGUAGUGUAGCGGUGAAAUGCUUAGAGAUUACACAGAACACCGAUUGCGAAGGCAUCUCACGAAGGGUUGAUUGACGCUGAGGCACGAAAGCGUGGGGAUCAAACAGGAUUAGAUACCCUGGUAGUCCACGCAGUAAACGAUGAUGGCUAACCGCUGGCUCUUUCGGGUCAGUGGCCAAGCGAAAGCGAUAAGCCAUCCACCUGGGGAGUACGACCGCAAGGUUGAAACUCAAAGGAAUUGACGGGGGCCCGCACAAGCGGAGGAACAUGUGGUUUAAUUCGAUGAUACGCGAGGAACCUUACCCGGGCUCGAACGGCAGAGGAACGACCCAGAGAUGGGAAGGCCCUUCGGGGCUUCUGUCGAGGUGCUGCAUGGUUGUCGUCAGCUCGUGCCGUGAGGCGUCGGCUCAAGUGCCAUAACGAGCGCAACCCUUGCCGUCAGUUACCAUCAAGUGAUGUUGGGGACUCUGGCGGGACUGCCACCGCAAGGUGUGAGGAAGGGGGGGAUGACGUCAAAUCAGCACGGCCCUUACGUCCGGGGCGACACACGUGUUACAAUGGCGGCCACAGAGGGGCACUACCUGGCGACAGGAUGGGAAUCUCGAAAAGCCGUCUCAGUCCGGAUCGGAGUCUGCAACCCGACUCCGUGAAGCUGGAUUCGCUAGUAAUCGCGCAUCAGCCAUGGCGCGGUGAAUACGUUCCC
rnacentral:rRNA from 1 species